CCCAGCUGUGCUUAGAUUGCGACUUGCACCGCCUUGCACAGACAAGGCCAGAAAAAAGUUUCCCUGUGGCUGUUAAUAUCCUACUGCAGGUGAAAAGACAUCUUCUGACAAAGUGAAGGUGGGAGGUGAGGUAAAUGUGCUGUAUUAGCUGAUACAAAUUCAUGCUGUGCAAAUAUCCCUGUGGAUGCCAAAGCAGAAUUGGUGUUUGAGGAGGAUUCCAGGUGGUCUCUUGGUGAUGGAGGAUGAGAGGGAUGAUCAUCUGACCAGGUGUGCAGAGAGUGUGUUGCUGUAACCUGCCCUGAUUUCCCCUGCUACAGCAGCGGUAGUUGGACUCAUGAUAGAGAUGUUCCUGCAAGGAAGCCCCAAAGCGAGGGACUGCUGACCAGGCUGGCGUGGUUGUUGUGUAAAUGCUCAAAGACAGAGCAGGAGUACCUUGCAACCAGGGAUUUUUCUCUCUGAAAGAUGGUACAGCUGUGGAUAAGCACCUUCUUCCCAGUUAUCCUCACCGCCUGGAGAUUUAUUCUUCUGUAGCUCCUGAAAUAACUGGAAGGUAGGAACAGGCUUUGAACUCUCUUGUAUACUAAGGAGAAGAGUGUCUCAGAAGGUGGAGGUCAUAGAAUUUGGGCACUUAGAAUUUGGGAAUUCAGUCCCUGGUUUGGCUGUACAGAAGAUCCAAGGGAGAAGCUUGUGGAUGGAAAAUGGAAAGUGGUACUUUGACUGCUCUGUUAUGCAACCCACCAUAUUCCUGAACUUGCAUUUAUAGCAAAAUUGUAUUAAGUAUGUGUUCUUGGAUUGUAAAGAUUUGCCUGUGCAGGUUAACAGAGGUAUAAACUUAGAGUACGUUAGAUAAACCGUAUUACCGCUCUGCAACGUCACAUAUUUAAAAUAAAAGGGGCCCGAUUUAAUUUUUCUUAAUUCAUUUCUGCAGCAAAUUAAACUAAAGCAAAUUCAGGUCACAUUUUUUCUGGGCUUUUAAUGUGGUUCAACUAAUUCACUUGAAAGGAUAAUUCAGAUGAAUCUUCCCAAGUGUUCCAUGUGGACAAGUCAUGAUGCAUAGCACCAUGCUGUCGAGUUAUCUUCCCUCAGGAGGUUGAACCAUAUAGUUAUGAUAAUGAACAACAAGUGACUGUGUAUGGAAAAAAAUGAGUUAAUCAACAGCAGUAGGAGCAUUGGUUGCAAAUCAGAAUCAGAUGAGGCAGGAGAAGAGUUAUGGGGUAUGAACAACCAUAUUGCUGGGCAAAUCUCCCAUGCUAUGGCCUUUCUCACAACCUAGGAAGUCCUUCAAAAGGACCCUUGACUUGUGGCUCAGCUAAGAGAAAGAGCUAAGAAAGUAAGGAUUUGGUGGCAGAUGCUGGGAUCUUUAUUGUGAUCAGAGAAAUUACUUUGUGUGGGAAAAGUAAAUAAAAUUCAGAGGCUGAUCCUGAAUCUCUUUAUGGGGUUAGCAUCGUGUUGGGGGAAGAAAAUAAUCUGCAGAGUUUUUAACUGAGUGCUUCAGACAUCUCUGCUCCCCUUCAUCCUACCAGAUUGGGGUGUGAAGGAGCAUGGCUUUUUUGAAACACAUAAAAGUACUUUUUUUGUGCUUCAGCUAAAGGUGAUGAGAAUAAAUAUCCAAACUUUGGAUUAAAUUUCGUGUAUUAUAUUUUGAUGUUCAUUAUAAGAAGAAAUGGAAAGUCCAUAUCUGCACUGAAGUUUUGGUUCAGUUCUGAUCUUGUCACUUUUCUAAAGUACUGUUUUACUAAUGAGUACAAUUUCUCCAGAUUUAGAGAUGGUUAACUCUGCUCUGGAGUGGGACCCAAUUAAGCACAAGUGGGCACUUUUAGAAGAGGUAGCUGCCAUUUUGUGAGAAGCUACAAAUAUAGCCUAUCAGAGAAGAAUGAUAAUCAGAAUGUUCGCUUUCUUAUAUUUCUGCUAAGUUUUCCCCUAAUCUGACAGCUGAGAUACCCUAACAGGAAAAGAGGAAGGUUUACAGUGGUUUAGUAUCAGAGAAACAGCAGGAGAUAUACUUGCAGUUAAUCUUAGAGAGAUGAACGAUCAAGAUAUUUUGUCUUGUGUGCUUUGUUUAUUCUAAGUUAACUCUUGCACAGUAAACUGUAUGAUGGAUGAAAUAAAGGAUUUUAUUUAUUUACUUAUAUAUGCUUCUGUGUAAGUAAUGC